rnacentral:lncRNA from 1 species
GGUUCCCUACAAAAGUGUUUUUCAACGGGGAGGAAUGCUCACUCCCAAGAAUACUUCCAUCAGGCAAUUCUUACAGAUUGCACUCAUCAGUCUCGACGUCUUUCGUAUUAGCUCUAGUAAUCCUGGUUUUGAUUCAGCAAUAACAAUUUGAUCUGAGUAUUGCUGCCUGUUUUGGUUAUGGAUGAUAUUAUCUUCAUUCUUUUGGUUUAUAUUGUCUGUAUAUUACUGUUAACUCGAAUUAUUCAAC